rnacentral:ribozyme from 13 species
UCUUUCUUUUCUUUCUUUUCUUUCUUUUCUUGUUGUUGUCCUUCUUCGUCUUCUUUGAAACGGAAUAAGCUAUGAGAGAGGAGAGAAAUAGAAACGUUGGUCGCGAUAGGUUCAGCUUUUAAAGCUUCUUUAACCUGUUCAACAGCCGUUUCUGGCUUCACAACAUCAAUAGUCCCUCCUGUUUUGUGAUUUAAAAUCCCCAAAAUACUCAAAUUUACAUUAUCACCAGGGGAGGCAAGAGAUAGCACAUUCAAAGUGACUGAUCUCUCCCUUGCAUACUCAGCCAUUUCUUCGUAAAAUUUACGACAGGC